CCCAAGAGCCUUAGGUCUAGCUUUGACCAGGCCCACAUCCCCUUUGGCUACUUAGCAGCUUUUCCUCUCUGCUCAGAAUGCAAUCCUCCAUGUCUGUCUGCUGGGCAUCCACGCUGCCCUCCAUUCUGGUUCCAAACUUUACCCUCUGCAUCCCAACAUCCUGUCGGCCCACGCUACAGAAACCAGAACGCAGACUCUAAACCCUAAACUCAGAUAAAUGCUUGGCUGUGACCCGUAAGAGCAGCAGUGUGAGCCACACCUAGCUACCCACCCUGGAAGAGAGAGAACCUGGUCAGCAGACUCCUGCAGGGUUCCAAAAAGGCUGCUCCGCCUCUCUGGAGCCCUGCAGCAAAGCACAGAGUCCGGAAAGGACAGGAGAAACAGCGUGGAGGUAGGGAGACCUCAUCUCUCUACACACGGACACAGCAUCGCCGCCAAGGGUGAAGAGGAGCCGGCACAUCCCCAUCCCCCACACCAGAAACCAGGCACCGUGGUUGGGAAAUCAAGACUACCCUACAAGUUUAGAAAGUUACUCAGGCAACACGGUAAAUAGAGAAAUGCGUAGAAGUGACCCGGAAAUGGUUUGGACUCGGUUUCACGUGGACAGAAACAGGAAGUGAAGGUAUAAGAAGAAAGCCAUAGAGACCAUAUGUCAUGGUUUGCAUAUGCUCAGUCCAGGGAGUGGCACUAUUAGAAGGUAUGGCCCUGUUGGAGUGGGUAUGGCCUUGUUGAAGUAGUUAUGGCAUUGUGGGUGUGGGCUUUUAGACCCUCAUCCUAGCUGCCUAGAAGCCAGUCUUCUAGCAGCCUUCAGAUGAAGAUGUAGAACUUUCAGCUCUUCCUGUACCAUGCCUGCCUGGAGGCUGCCAUGUUCCCGCCUUGAUGAUGAUGGACUGAACCUCUGAACCUGUAAGCCAGCCCCAAUAAAAUGUUGUUCUUUAUGAGACUUGAA
rnacentral:lncRNA from 1 species